rnacentral:rRNA from 1 species
UGGGGGAUAUUGCACAAUGGGCGAAAGCCUGAUGCAGCGACGCCGCGUGAGGGAAGACGGUCUUCGGAUUGUAAACCUCUGUCUUUGGGGAAGAAAAUGACGGUACCCAAAGAGGAAGCUCCGGCUAACUACGUGCCAGCAGCCGCGGUAAUACGUAGGGAGCAAGCGUUGUCCGGAAUUACUGGGUGUAAAGGGAGCGUAGGCGGGAUGGCAAGUAGAAUGUUAAAUCCAUCGGCUCAACCGGUGGCUGCGUUCUAAACUGCCGUUCUUGAGUGAAGUAGAGGCAGGCGGAAUUCCUAGUGUAGCGGUGAAAUGCGUAGAUAUUAGGAGGAACACCAGUGGCGAAGGCGGCCUGCUGGGCUUUAACUGACGCUGAGGCUCGAAAGCGUGGGGAGCAAACAGGAUUAGAUACCC